UCCGAUUCUCUUUCAUAGAUAAAAGAUUAGACUUUAGAGUAAAAAUUACAGACGAAUCGAAACUUUGGUACUCCUAGAAAAAAAAAGAAAUCCGUACACAUUUUAUCUGGACGAACUAUAACAUGUCAGCACAAAUAAAGUAAUUCAAGUCCCUCUUCAAAAUGUCUAGCCGAAAAGUCAGACGAUGCUAACAGUAUAGUAUAACGAGAGCUGCUCUGAAAUACAGUGUUUCUGGUUUGUUGCGGAGAGUGACCAUCCAGUGACCAACAUAUUUCCUCCGACCGGGAAAGGACGGGCGCGGGGUCAAGGAAACACGAAGAAGCACGGAUAGAACACGAAAAGAGAAAGAAGCAGGCGGGGGAGAAGCUGGGGAGCACAGUCUGGAUUCUCUGGUUUCCGUCGCCGGUCCUCGUCGACGUGGUAACGCGGUAACCGAUAACGGUACCGCUGGCUUCGACGGUGUUCACCAAUGUGAGGGUACUGUUAUUCCAACGAUGCGGUUACCUUCUCUGUUCCACCAGAGACUGCUGCUCUCGCACGUCCUGCUUCUUUGCCGACCGGCGAGCGUGAAGUAACCGUGGAUGGUUGUUAGUCGCUUUUUAGCGUUCGACAGGAACGUUGCCGGCGCAGGAAUGCUGGAAAAAUUGAAUAACAAGUGGGAUAUAUAUCUAUAGUAGAUCGUUGACGAUUUUUUGGGACUGAGAGUGAAUGAAAGAAAUGGAACUUGAAGGUAAAGAAGUGGAUGUUGCAGGUAAACGAAAGGAUUGGAAUAGGAAUAUUCUUUUGUCCAAAGAGAAGUGAAACUCCAAGGCGUAGAAAUUGAAAUAAACUUUUUAUUUUACGAAGGAGGGUUAAUAAUUCGGUGUUGGGUAGAUAGACGAUUGUAACACGUCUUUGUGCCAUGGAAAUAAAUAAGAUUUGGAGGCAACUUGGAGGAAUUCGUGUUUUGAAUGGAAUUUGGAUUGGUAGGAAUGUAGAUAGGUAUUAGAUACUUACGCAGUCAGCCAUUUCAGUAGAGCAAUUUUAACGAGGGUGAUUUAUGACUGAUCAAGUUUUCUAACAGCUGUGGCACGUAGAAGAUAUAACAAGUGGGAACAAUCUGAUUAUAAAGUCAGAUGAGAGAAUUAAGAGGUUCUAAUAAACGUAUAUUAUAAACCUCUGACAUUGGAAGCUAGAUGGACCGCGUUAGUUACGCUUACACUUACAUAAUGAUUACUAAUGUGAUCGCUCGUACGAGACGAGAUCAAAGUUCAUCUUGAAAGAAGGUAAUCUCGGAAAGAGCAAUUUUAACGGUACAAGAACGCUGUAAAAUAUGCUCGUUCAUAUAUUCGCUGUGAAUUCAUUUGCAUAUUUUAAUUUUAUGUUUACGUUCCUCGCAGCUGCUCGCUCUUUUCACCAUUAUUAGUAACAUUAUCGCGGCGAAAGUAAUCAUUCGAACGAUAAAUGCGCUCACGACCAAUUUUUUUCUGCUUUCUUUGUCGAGCAACUCUGUCCCAAAAUUUAAGCCUAACAACUUUAAAGAGAUUUCAAUAAUUAGAGUUUCCUGAUUUAUUCUACCCAGUAUUCACAAGUUAUUUGUAUAUUUCUCGAUGUUAGUAAGAACUUCCACUUACACGUGACUUAUUUUAAUUUAAUACGCCAAGAAUGCAAAUUUCAAGGAGAAACAAUUUUUGUAAUAACAAAAAAGAAACUUACGAGAAACAGUCGUUUCUAAAAUUCUAAAACGUACGAUUUGCAGCUAUUACAGAACAAUCUCGUCGCUUGGCCAUCAAAGUUGGCCGUGUUAUUUGCAGUUUAUUCGAAAGAAACGUAAAAGUUGAGAGGGCAAGAACCGAUAACGACAGCAAGAAUCGUGAUUGCACCUACUUUUUAAGUUCUCGGAAGGCAAAGACAAAGUUCCUCCUUUCCCGUGUUCGCGGCCGCCUCGAUUAAAACCUGCCGGCGAUUUUACAAUAAUGUCCAGUUAUUUUACGCAUUGUACCAUUACACGACUACGCGGGUAUCGUUUCGUCCAACGACAGUUGCUGGAUACCGCUUCGAAGCGGAAGUUAUCGCGGCUUAUGAUUUUUCAUCAUCGACUCGCUUUCGCAGCUGUCGCCUGUCCCCCAUUUUUGUGACUUUUUAUUUUAUUUUCUUUUUUUUUCAACUCUCGAUUACGCAAGAUCUUCACACAAAUAUUCCAACCAUACAAAUAUCCUUCGGUCUUCGAGAAUUAUCUUCAACGAGGCAAUUUAUUCUGUCAUUACGUACUCUGUGUCAAAUUUCUUUUCGAAGUUUCUUUUUUUCGACUUUUCUCAAUUUUUGGUCGU